rnacentral:rRNA from 1 species
UACAGAGGGGGCAAGCGUUGUUCGGAAUUACUGGGCGUAAAGGGCGCGUAGGCGGCCUGUUAAGUCGAACGUGAAAUCCCCGGGCUCAACCCGGGAACUGCGUCCGAUACUGGCAGGCUUGAAUCCGGGAGAGGGAUGCGGAAUUCCAGGUGUAGCGGUGAAAUGCGUAGAUAUCAGGAGGAACACCGGUGGCGAAGGCGGGUCUCUGGGCAACUACUGACGCUGAGGAGCGAAAGCGUGGGGAGCGAACAGG